rnacentral:rRNA from 1 species
CAAAAGGAAGCCUUUAAAGGCGUAUAUUAUAUCCACUUACACCUGUGAACUGACCUACUACUUGACGAAAUUCUAAUAUCUUUACAAACAAUGUGUAACAACGUCGUUUUAUUAUAACAAAACAACCCUUUCGACAACGGAUCUCUUGGCUCUCGCAUCGUUGAAGAACGCAGCUAAGGAUCUUUAGGGAUUGCCUUUAUUGGCUUAUAACUAUUUCCUUCGCUGUGAGUGUUAUACUACCAGCAUCAAGCAACAAUUUUUCGGCAAUGUGUAAGGAAGUCUUCAUCAUAACAAAAUAAAACUUUCACAACGGACUUGGCUCUGCACGUAAAAGCACACGA